rnacentral:lncRNA from 1 species
AGAGAGAGAGGCGACAAUGGAGAAGAAGGAAUACACCAUGCUAGGCUCAGACGUGGGGCCUUGGGUGGGAUGUAGGCAGUGGCUCUUUGCACGGGGUGUGGCUAUAACUGGGACCUCCAGGUGGUGGCUCAUGGUUGCACUGGGGAAGUAAACUAAUCUAGGCAUAAAAGUUGAUGAAGCUGUAGCACCAGGAGUCCAAGCUGUGAAGGAAGUUGAGUCCUUCCUCCGCCAGCAGCAGACUGUGAGCUGCAGAGUCAAAUAUGAUGGAAAGUUUCCUUUUGAGAGGAGAAAAAAAUGGUGAAAAGAAAAUUCUAGCAAAUAAAAAAUGAUUUGCAAG